rnacentral:rRNA from 1 species
GUAUAGGCGAUGGAAAUUUUAUCCUGGCACAAUAGACAUAGUACCAUAAGGGAAAGAUGAAAGAACUGAAUCAAGCAUUAAAAAGCAAAGACAAACCCUUAUACCUUCUGCAUAAUGUAUUAACUAGAAAUAACUUUACACAAAGACCCAUAGCCAAGUCCCCUGAAACCAGACAAGCUACCCAAGAACAGCUGAAGAGCACACCUACCUAUGUGGCAAAAUAGUGGGAAGAUUCAUGAGUAGCAGUGACAAACCUACCGAGCCUGGUGAUAGCUGGUUGUCCAAGACAGAAUCUUAGACAACUCCCUAUACCAGAUCCUCUAAUUAAUUUUAAUAAAGGCCUUCUAUUUAUACUAGCCACAUCAAGCCUAGCCGUCUACGUACCCACAGAAUUACUUAGUCCCCUGUAAGUUUAACUGCUAGUCUAAAGACGGACAGAUCUUUAGACCCUAGGAAAUAACCUUCCUCCAGAGAGUAAACAUUAUUACCACCAUAGUUGGCCCAAAAGCAGCCACCAAUUAAGAAAGCAUUCAAGCUCAACAUCUAACUAUUUUAAAUCCUAAUCACUCCACUGAACUCCUAACAUUACGUUGGACUAAUCUAUUACUUAAUAGAAGCAAUAAUGUUAAUAUAAGUAACAUGAAGAUAUCCUCCAUCACAUAAGCUUACAUCAGACUGGAAUAACCCACUGACAGUUAACAGCCUAAUAUUAAUAAGUGAUACAAUAAGCACCUUAUUAUUUAUACUGUUAAUCCAACACAGGUAUUCUUGAAGGAAAGAUUACAAAAAGUAAAAGGAACUCGGCAAAUCUUGCCCUGCCUGUUUACCAAAAACAUUACCUCUAGCAUUACCAGUAUUAGACAUGUCCCCAGUGACAUAUGUUCAACAGCUGUGGUAUCCUGACUGUGCAAAGGUAGCAUAAUCACUUGUUCUCUAAAUAGGGACUUGUAUAAAUGGCCACACGAGGCUUCAGCUGUCUCUUACUUUUAAUCAGUGAAACUGACCUAUCCGGCGGGAUAUAAACAAGAUGAGAAGACCCUAUGGAGCUUUAAUUCAUUAAGGCAAAUAGAAACUCGCCCUAAGCCAUUACCAUUGCAUUAAAAAUUUUGGCUGGGGUGACCUUGGAGCAUAAUUUAACCUCCGAACAACCUAAACUAAAAUGGCACUAGUCUAAGCGAGUUAACAUAUAUUGACCCAAUAAUUUAACUGAACAAGUUACCCUACGGAUAACAGCAUAAUCCUAUUCUAGAGUCCAUAUAGACAAUAGGGUUUAUGACCUCAAUGUUGGAUCAGGACAUCCUAAUGUAGCUGCUAUUAAGGGUUCAUUUGUUCAACAAUUAAAGUCCUACGUGAUCUGAGUUUAGACUGGAGUAAUCCAGGUCGGUUUCUAUCUAUUUAAUAUUUCUGCUAGUACGA